UAGUGGCGACGGGUGAGUAACACGUGGGCAAUCUGCCCUGCACUCUGGGACAAGCCCUGGAAACGGGGUCUAAUACCGGAUACUGACCAUCUUGGGCAUCUUCGAUGGUCGAAAGCUCCGGCGGUGCAGGAUGAGCCCGCGGCCUAUCAGCUAGUUGGUGAGGUAAUGGCUCACCAAGGCGACGACGGGUAGCCGGCCUGAGAGGGCGACCGGCCACACUGGGACUGAGACACGGCCCAGACUCCUACGGGAGGCAGCAGUGGGGAAUAUUGCACAAUGGGCGAAAGCCUGAUGCAGCGACGCCGCGUGAGGGAUGACGGCCUUCGGGUUGUAAACCUCUUUCAGCAGGGAAGAAGCGAAAGUGACGGUACCUGCAGAAGAAGCGCCGGCUAACUACGUGCCAGCAGCCGCGGUAAUACGUAGGGCGCAAGCGUUGUCCGGAAUUAUUGGGCGUAAAGAGCUCGUAGGCGGCUUGUCACGUCGGUUGUGAAAGCCCGGGGCUUAACCCCGGGUCUGCAGUCGAUACGGGCAGGCUAGAGUUCGGUAGGGGAGAUCGGAAUUCCUGGUGUAGCGGUGAAAUGCGCAGAUAUCAGGAGGAACACCGGUGGCGAAGGCGGAUCUCUGGGCCGAUACUGACGCUGAGGAGCGAAAGCGUGGGGGAGCGAACAGGAUUAGAUACCCUGGUAGUCCACGCCGUAAACGGUGGGCACUAGGUGUGGGCAACAUUCCACGUUGUCCGUGCCGCAGCUAACGCAUUAAGUGCCCCGCCUGGGGAGUACGGCCGCAAGGCUAAAACUCAAAGGAAUUGACGGGGGCCGCACAGCGCGGAGCAU
rnacentral:rRNA from 1 species